GGUCUGCGGCUGAUUAGGUCGUUGGUGGGGUAAUGGCCCACCAAGCCGAUGAUCGGUACGGGUUGUGAGAGCAAGGGCCCGGAGAUGGAACCUGAGACAAGGUUCCAGACCCUACGGGGUGCAGCAGGCGCGAAACCUCCGCAAUGUACGAAAGUGCGACGGGGGGAUCCCAAGUGUUAUGCUUUUUUGUAUGACUUUUCAUUAGUGUAAAAAGCUUUUAGAAUAAGAGCUGGGCAAGACCGGUGCCAGCCGCCGCGGUAACACCGGCAGCUCGAGUGGUAGCUGUUUUUAUUGGGCCUAAAGCGUUCGUAGCCGGUUUGAUAAGUCUUUGGUGAAAGCUUGUAGCUUAACUAUAAGAAUUGCUGGAGAUACUAUUAGACUUGAAGUCGGGAGAGGUUAGAGGUACUACCGGGGUAGGGGUGAAAUCCUAUAAUCCUGGGAGGACCACCUGUGGCGAAGGCGUCUAACUGGAACGAUCUUGACGGUGAGUAACGAAAGCCAGGGGCGCGAACCGGAUUAGAUACCCGGGUAGUCCUGGCCGUAAACGAUGUGGACUUGGUGUUGGAAUGGCUUUGAGUUGUUCCGGUGCCGAAGGGAAGCUGUUAAGUCCACCGCCUGGGAAGUACGGUCGCAAGACUGAAACUUAA
rnacentral:rRNA from 1 species